CAGUACUGAUCAUUACCGAGUUUACACUCCCAACCCAAUUGCUUGAACGUUACCAAACUGUUGCCUCGGCGGGGUCACGCCCCGGGUGCGUCGCAGCCCCGGAACCAGGCGCCCGCCGGAGGAACCAACCAAACUCUUUCUGUAGUCCCCUCGCGGACGUAUUUCUUUACAGCUCUGAGCAAAAAUUCAAAAUGAAUCAAAACUUUCAACAACGGAUCUCUUGGUUCUGGCAUCGAUGAAGAACGCAGCGAAAUGCGAUAAGUAAUGUGAAUUGCAGAAUUCAGUGAAUCAUCGAAUCUUUGAACGCACAUUGCGCCCGCCAGUAUUCUGGCGGGCAUGCCUGUCCGAGCGUCAUUUCAACCCUCGAACCCCUCCGGGGGAUCGGCGUUGGGGAUCGGGACCCCUCACACGGGUGCCGGCCCCUAAAUACAGUGGCGGUCUCGCCGCAGCCUCUCCUGCGCAGUAGUUUGCACAACUCGCACCGGGAGCGCGGCGCGUCCACGUCCGUAAAACACCCAACUUUCUGAAAUGUUGACCUCGGAUCAGGAAGGAAUACCCCGCUGAACUUAAGCAUAUCAAUAAAGCAGAGGAA
rnacentral:rRNA from 1 species